rnacentral:rRNA from 1 species
CGGUAAUACCAGCUCUCCGAGUGGUAGGGACGAUUAUUGGGCCUAAAGCGUUCGUAGCCGGCCUGGAAAGUCUCUCGUCAAAUCCAGCGACCCAAUCGCUGGGCCGCGGGAGAUACUAUCAGGCUCGGGAGCGGGAGAGGCCGACGGUAUUCUCGGGGUAGGGGUGAAAUCCUAUAAUCCCGGGAGGACCACCAGUGGCGAAGGCUGUCGGCUAGAACGCG